rnacentral:lncRNA from 1 species
UGUUAAAGCCAUACCUCAUUGUUGUUUAAUGCAAUAUCUAUUUCAUGAUUGAUUCUAUCCAUCCUCCUCUUUAUUGUUGUUCCUAGUAAUAUGUCUCAAUUUUCCUCUCUUAUUCCAAACUCCUAUAAUUUUUGUUCUGAGUCCCUUGUAUCUAUUUCUCUCCCUUGUUUCAAACUUCUUCCAUCAUUGUUCUUAGUUUCAUGUUUCAAUUCUCCUCCCUUCUCAUCCUUCUUAUCUCUCAUUCUAUGUAUUGACUACUUGUUGCAUUUUUCAAUCCUAGUACUUAUGUUUGCAUAAAAUUACAUAGAUACUACUAGGAUUAUUUGGAUACUUUUGGUAUAUUACUUAGAUCAGUGAAGACUUAGAUUAGUUUCCUAGAAUGUGAUCUUCUAAAGAAGUCUCAUAGAUGGUCAUUAAGUAUUAUAUAAUAAGUUAGUUGCCAAGGAUAAUAAAUCUUGUUGCCAAUUUUUAGUGGCAGGCAA